AUGAAGGGGGACGACAUCAGGACGCCGCCGCCGUCUGGUCUGGAGAACCGGACCAAGGGUUUCCCCCGGUGCUCGAAGGAGGACAGGUCGAAAGGCCAUGGCAACGCCUUCAAGAAGGAGACGGCAUCCGCAGAUGUCGCCGCUACCAGCACCGGCAAGCCGAGCAAGGAUUUCGUCCCGGCCUUGACCGAAUCACCCCAAAUGCCGUCGGAUCAGGAAUCGAAGACAAGGAAACCAUGUAGCUGGCUGGAACCACCACGGCAGGGAGAGAUGCACCCAUCACCAGACAAGAAGGUGACAUGGGCGCCGCCGGAUGCACCACAAUCACCAACCAGCACCACCAACACAACUCACUGCAGGCACCCGAUCACCACCAACGCCAUGGUCCAGAACUGGGCGGGAAAAGGAUGCGCCGCCGCCAGCAGCACCAAAGCCAGCCGAAGAGAAGGCAUUGCCGACCGAGAGCCAUGGGGAGGAGCAGCCGGCAGGGAUAGGUCGUGGAGUUGGGAGGCGCUGGAGGAGGUGGAGCAGGGGAGAGACACGCCGCAUCGGGCAGGCCGGCGACGGCCCGGCCAAGAAGCCUCGAACACCAUCCUCCCGGGAUCCGGCGCCGGCAACAGCAAGGGUGCUGGAGGCCGCACGGAUCUGGCGCGGGAGAAGGUGGUUGGGGCGAGGACGCGCCAGCGACAGCCGGAGCCCACAGGGAAGGGGGCGGUCGAGGGCCGGGGAGGAGGAGCCAGAGGUAGCACGCCGGCGCCGGAGCGCGACGGGAUCCGACGAGAGAGGUGUGGAGGGGGGAGGUGGCUUGCAGUCGGGCCGGCCGAGGCGCCCCGCCGCCACCUUCCUGUGAGCCGGCGCAGCUUCGCCGGCCGCUCCUCUGGUGGCGGUGAGGAGGCGGGGCGGGGCGGGGGUUGGCCGCGGCGGCGCAGGCUAGGGUUCCCCCGCCGCCGCCAGGGGAGGCGAUGCGGGGGUCGGGGGAGGGGAGGGAGCAGACAAUGCAAUAAACUCCGAUUUCUCCGUAACUGA
rnacentral:rRNA from 1 species